rnacentral:rRNA from 1 species
AGCUGGUCUGAGAGGAUGGUCAGCCACACUGGGACUGAGACACUGCCCAGACUCCUACGGGAGGCUGCAGUCGAGGAUCAUUCGCAAUGCGCGAAAGCGUGACGAUGCGACGCUGCGUGGAGGAUGACGGCCUUCGGGUUGUAAACUCCUGUCAUUCGGGAAAAACGGUCUGGCUCGUAACAUGGGCUGGGCGUGAUGGUACCGGAAGAGGAAGCCACGGCUAACUCUGUGCCAGCAGCCGCGGUAACACAGAGGUGGCGAGCGUUGUUCGGAUUUACUGGGCGUAAAGGGUGCGUAGGUGGCUUCGUGUGUCGGAUGUGAAAUCCCACUGCCCAACGGUGGAACUGCGUCCGAAACUGCGGAGCUAGAGUACAGGAAGGGAGAGCGGAAUUCUUGGUGUAGCGGUGAAAUGCGUUGAUAUCAAGAAGAACACCGGUGGCGAAGGCGGCUCUCUGGAAUGUUACUGACACUGAGGCACGAAAGCUGGGGGAGCAAACAGGAUUAGAUACCCUGGUAGUCCCAGCCGUAAACGGUGCGCACUUGGUGUUGGCGGUAUUGACCCCGCCAGUGCCUGAGCUAACGCGUUAAGUGCGCCGCCUGGGGAGUACGACCGCAAGGUUAAAACUCAAAGAAAUUGACGGGGGCCCGCACAAGCGGAGGAGCAUGUGGCUUAAUUCGAUGCAACGCGAAGAACCUUACCAGGGCUUGACAUGCAGCUGCACGUCCCGUGAAAGCGGGAAAGCCUUCGAGGGUGCUGCACAGGUGCUGCAUGGCUGUCGUCAGUUCGUGCCGUGAGGUGUUGGGUUAAGUCCCGCAACGAACGCAACCCCUGUGUCUAGUUGCCACCGGCGGUGAUGAGCCGCCGAGCACUUUAGACAGACUGCCCGUACAAGCGGGAGGAAGGUGGGGAUGAUGUCAAGUCAGUAUGCCCCUUACGCCCUGGGCUGCACACGUGCUACAAUGGCCGGUACAAAGGGACGCAAUACCGCGAGGUGGAGCAAAUCCCAAAAGCCGACCUCAGUUCGGAUUGGAGUCUGCAACUCGACUCCAUGAAGCCGGAUUCGCUAGUAACGGCGCAUCAGCUACGGCGCCGUGAAUACGUUCCCGGGCCUUGUACACACCGCCCGUCACAUCAUGAAAGCCGUCUGCACCCGAAGUCGCUGAGCCAAUCUUAACGGAAGGCAGGUGCCGAAGGUGUGGGUGGUGAUUGGGAUGAAGUC